GACGAACGCUGGCGGCGUGCUUAACACAUGCAAGUCGAACGGAAAGGCCCUGCUUGCAGGGUACUCGAGUGGCGAACGGGUGAGUAACACGUGAGUGCUGUGCCCUGCACUUCGGGAUAAGCCUCGGCAACUGGGUCUAAUACCGGAUAGGAGCCAUUCUUAGUUUGAUGGUUGGAAAGUUUUUUCGGUGUAGGAUGAGCUCGCGGCCUAUCAGCUUGUUGGUGGGGUAAUGGCCUACCAAGGCGGCGACGGGUAGCCGGCCUGAGAGGGUGGACGGCCACAUUGAGACUGAGAUACGGCCCAGACUCCUACGGGAGGCAGCAGUGGGGAAGAUUGAACCAGGGGCGCAAGCCUGAUGCAGCGAAACCGCGUGGGGGAUGACGGCCUUCGGGUUGUACACUCCCUUCGCUAGGAGCGGAGCUUUUUGUGACGGUACAUAGAUAAGAAGCACCGGCUAACUUCGUG
rnacentral:rRNA from 1 species